rnacentral:ribozyme from 12 species
UUUUUUUUUUUUUUUUCUCUGUUAUUUUUUUUUUCUUUCUUCCAUGCUUUAGUUUUUCAACAAAUACGGGAC